ACCGUUGCGGGCUAAUUGUGGACC
rnacentral:siRNA from 1 species